CAGUCGCCGCGGUAAUACGAAGGGUGCAAGCGUUACUCGGAAUUACUGGGCGUAAAGCGUGCGUAGGUGGUGGUUUAAGUCCGUUGUGAAAGCCCUGGGCUCAACCUGGGAAUUGCAGUGGAUACUGGGUCACUAGAGUGUGGUAGAGGAUAGUGGAAUUUCCGGUGUAGCAGUGAAAUGCGUAGAGAUCGGAAGGAACAUCUGUGGCGAAGGCGACUAUCUGGGCCAACACUGACACUGAGGCACGAAAGCGUGGGGAGCAAACAGGAUUAGAUACCCGUGUAGUCCCUGUCUCUUAUAA
rnacentral:rRNA from 1 species